UCACACUGGGGAACGUUAAAAUACAAAGAAGGUGGAAUAUUGAAAAAGGACGGAAACGUUCCUCUAACACUCAUUACAACCGUUGCACCAGGUGUGUGGAACCGGAAGACGUUCCGUGCGGGUCGAAGCAACAGACGGAGUAGCGAACCCAGAUUUACCGACCACCGGCGAGCAGAGUCGCUAACCUACACUCGACCAGUUGACGGGUUUCAGCGCCAAACUGGAAGCUGAGUUCCUAUAAACGCCUGGAUUGUUAAAACGUUACAUCUUUGCAGCAGAUGUUGACCAGACGGAAUAUUUUCCUUCGGGUAAGACCCGAUGACAUUCUUGGAAAUCACAAACUGAAAAUCUGUGACAGUGAAAAUCGCUGCAGUGGCAUUGUGGGUAACCCCGGUUUAUUUAGACUGGGUGUGAAGAUCCAUCACAAAACCAGGAGCAGGAGCGCUGUGGUUCACACGAAGAUCUGUCUGAGCCUCAGCAGGUUUGGAACAAACGUGGAAAAAUAACUGGACCUGAAAACCUUCUCAGGCCCAACCAGACCUGGUUGUGUGCGAGACACCGUAAACUUGAACACGUUAUUGUGUUGAUGUGGAAAUACAUGAGUGCUUGAGUGUCUGAGACUUUCAGAGGAAGACAUUUCUAUUUAUGGUCAGGUGCUGCUGUCCGUCCUCAGACUGUCCUUUUGUAACAAAGGGCUGUGUGUUUAUUAGGACUGGUCAAGUUAACUCGUUAUUGUCAUAGCACAGUAAUAAACACCAACAAUUAUGCUUUUUUCUGUUUUUUUUUUUCUUAAAGGUCUAUAGUCGUAGGCUUUGAAUACACACACAGACAAUCAUAGAUCCUGGCGAGGAUCACGGGGAGGAUUGUGGAUCAGCACUGGAUUAGUUCCAAUGGGCAGUUCUCCCGUCCAUCCCAGGGUCACCGAUUGAGCGAUACAACUAUUUAAACUCACGUUCACACCAAAAACCCAUGCACACAGGAAGAACAGUGAUCGGACCAGAUCUUGCUUCCACUGUGAGGCCGCUGCAGAUUUUGUUUGAUCUGAACAAUAAAAAAAAAACCAACACAUUUUACAGGAAGAGAAGUGAAAUUGAGACACAUUGAGGCGAAGGGGAAAUUAGAUUUGAAGCGAAUGUUAUGAUGUGGAAUUGAUUCAGAGGAAAGACUUUUUAUUUUUAGUUUUAUGUUUCCUUUCAUGACGUCUUAUUACAUGAGCAGACUCAAACAUCCUGGGGUGCAGGUUUGACUCCUGGGUCACUUUCAAGCGCACAGCAGUCAGGUCAGUGUUGAACUGCAGCUCCGACUCUUUGAAGUUGACCCCGUUGCACAUUUACAUCUCCGAGUCUUCAAAUUGUUUGUCUUCUCGUGGCAUUAUUCCCGAGCCUGUUCUUCACCUCUGAUCGUAACGGCAACAAAAGAACUAAUAAAUGGAAGGGUUUGAUUUCCGACUGCCGUGCCAAACUCUGCAGGCUCACCUUCAGUAGAGCAGGGGUCAGGAGUUAGCGGCCCGGGGGCCCUAAAGGCUGAGGGCUCGGGGGCCGAGUGUUUACACACAGGGCGUUGCAUUAUUUAUCUUCUUCAUCAGUGGAGGAACAGAGUUAUUACAUCUGUGUCUAAGGCAACACAUGGAUGGAAACUCCUUUCUUUAAAAAGGAAUUUCAGAGUCUGCAGAGUCUUUGUGAUCGCAGCUGUUGAUGUUAGGACUUAAGUCUGUCGUCAGAUUAUUGACUUAAAUAAUGAAUGCGUUAAAAUUAGAGCUGAGGUGUGAUUAUAAUAUUCCAGUUUAAUCAGAGGAUUUUAAAUUUAUUUCAAUUAUCAAAAAGCAAUAUUUGAAAAAUCCAA